UAUAUAUGUUUUGAACAUUACAAGUGCUAAUUUUUAAUGUAAUAUAAAAAAAAAAGGCACCUGAUGACAUAAUCUAUUCAAGUCACAAUGUUCUACCGAAAAAAUCAAGAUCCUAAGCUUUCGCUCCAUACGGAAAUCUAAGUUGACCAGGCAGUUAUUCAUCUUUUCUAAAGCCUUAAAAUAUUGGCAUCUGGUCUGGAGGCUGUACACCCAGAGUUUUUAAAAGCUUAGCUCAAAGGUCUGCUAUGAAUGAAUAGUGCUAAUAGAGGGCUGUUCAAUUGAUAGUAUUAAAACUUGAAAUAAUCUCAAUUACUAUUAUCCUUUUUAUAUUGUUAUUUCAGCUGGAAUCAAGAGACCUGUCACCCAGGAGGACAAGGAAUGGGCACUGGCAUCCUUGUCACAACUUGGGCGUUUUACUGGGAUGGGGUGGAUUUUGAGUCCAGAAACGCCUCAGGCAUGUGAUUGGGGAAUCCUCCAUGAGCAAAGGGCAAAUCAGCAAUAUACAGAACGCACUGGUGUCAUUAUCCAGGAGAGGGGAGUGUUCCUGUCUGACAGUGGCCUACUCGGUGGAUCUCCAGAUGGGACAGUAUCUGAUGACUGCAUCAUUGAGAAAAUCCUCUCGGUCCCUGCCUCCAGCAGCUGGAAGCGCCUCGCCUGCGACCUCGCUCGAGGGUCGGAGGGCGAUGUGCCGCAGAAACACCGUUGGAGCUGCAGAGGCGGGUAGCUGAUGUCUGACACACCGCUCUUUUGGAGACUGUCAACUCCCAGUGAGCCCGUCUCACCCUGGCCGCUGCACCGUGCACCCGCAGGUGACACUCUCCUCCGGGGAGAUGGGGGUUCAGUGUCAAUGUUUAACCCCUCGCGUCUAGCUGCAGGGCGGAGGGACCGCGGUUAUGUCUAAGUUUAUGUCAGACAACAAUGAACCAUGCAGUCAGAGAAACAAUGGCACUUUCUCAGCUUAACUAUGGUUGCACUAUUUAGGGUUCUAAUCCCGAAGGGGUAGAACCGGGUGACAGAGCUCCUCACCCUAUCUCUAAGGGAGCGCCCCGCCAAUUGCGGAGGAAACUCAUUUCGGCCGCUUGUAUCCGGGGUCUUAUUCUUUCGGUCAUGACCCAAAGUUCAUGACCAUAGGUGAGGGUAGGAACGUAGAUUGACCGGUAAAUCGAGAGCUUCGCCUUUUGGCAAAGCGUGUGAAAAACAGUAAAAUGAAUAGAACUUUUGAA
rnacentral:lncRNA from 1 species